CCUACGGGAGGCAGCAGUGGGGAAUAUUGCACAAUGGGCGCAAGCCUGAUGCAGCAACGCCGCGUGAGGGACGACGGCCUUCGGGUUGUAAACCUCUUUUAGUAGGGAAGAAGCGAAAGUGACGGUACCUGCAGAAACAGCACCGGCUAACUACGUGCCAGCAGCCGCGGUAAUACGUAGGGUGCAAGCGUUAUCCGGAAUUAUUGGGCGUAAAGAGCUCGUAGGCGGUUUGUCGCGUCUGCUGUGAAAACUGGAGGCUCAACCUCCAGCCUGCAGUGGGUACGGGCAGACUAGAGUGCGGUAGGGGAGAUUGGAAUUCCUGGUGUAGCGGUGGAAUGCGCAGAUAUCAGGAGGAACACCGGAUGGCGAAGGCAGAUCUCUGGGCCGUAACUGACGCUGAGGAGCGAAAGCAUGGGGAGCGAACAGGAUUAGAUACCCUGGUAGUCCAUGCCGUAAACGUUGGGAACUAGAUGUAGGGACCAUUCCACGGUUUCUGUGUCGCNGCUACGCAUACGUUACCCGUCCGUCGGGUAGGUACGGCCGCGACGACGUAACGUACGAAGAAGUAGUAGCGNGUAGAGACGCGACGACGACGACGACGGAGGAGG
rnacentral:rRNA from 1 species